UGCCCUGAUAAUAAAUAGAAAGUCUCCAUCUACAUCAAACACCUGUGCCGGGUGGACAAAUUUGUAAACAAGUUAGUAUACUUCUUAAACUGAAGUCAGGGCCACACAAAAUCAGUUCAGGGGCCACACUUUGGCCACCUUGUUUUAAGUUGUCAUUUUUUGGAUCUGAUUAUUAGCAUAUAAUGACUGGACAAUUACUAAGAAUUGCUAUAAAAUAUUUGCGAUGUUUAACCUUAUUUUUUGUCUUCAAGGACAUGAAGGUCUUUCCUUUCUGCAGAAGACAAUAAAGUGAUGCAAGCAACACAAUCCUACAUUAAAACAUGUUGGUUUGUAAAGAAAAAUGCAAGCUUUUAGACUUUUUAUCUUCAAGCGUAUUAUUAAUUCAUAAUCCAGAUUUAGAAAAUGCAAAUUGUGCUCUUUCAUUAAAUGAGCAGAAAACAGAUUGUAUUUUUUCUUCAGUGCACAUUAACUACGAGAGAAAAAUCGUUUUUGUGAACUUCCAGCUUUGCUGCAGAUGGUUUCUGUUUUAAUUAAACUGAAAUUAAAAUGCUUUAAUAAAAGCAAAUUAAAUGGUAGCAGUGAAUCGUUAAUCAAAAUGAAAAAAAUGAGUGUAAAAGAAUACUAAUAGGAAUAAAUGCAGGUGUGUUUCUCUCUCCAUCACAGGAGGAGCUUCUUGUUGCAGCAGAGAUGAGGAGCUCAGAUGGUUUGGUGUUUAUUAAAAGGAGCAGGUUCUGCUUCCUGCCAUCAGCGAGCCAGCUCCUACCCCGAGGGUGCCUUAAGAAGUCGUCACCAGCUGGUGCACUCUGCAGCUUCAGUCAUCAGAGUGUUUUUGUGGAAGUCUGAUGUGAGCGGAGGGACGAGAAACAGAGGAAAGUUUCCUGCAGGUGCUUCUCUGCUGCCGGCUCUUCACUUCACUUCACAGGACUUCAGUCUCCUGAUCUUUGCUCUGUUUGUCUAGCAGUGCAGGCUGGGCUGUUUGAAAUGCGCUGGAGAAACCGCUGAAACACGAUCCUCACAGCGCUGCUUCAGCCGGGAGGGAUCAGGAUCACUGAAGCAAAAACAUGUUAAAGACGAAACAAAUGUGACCUCACACACACACACACACACACACACAC